rnacentral:lncRNA from 1 species
GGACAUGGGGACACUGAGGGGACACCUCCUAGUUUGGGGAUAUAGGGACAGGGACAUCAGGGGGGGACCUCGUAACUUGGGGACACAGGGACACUGAGGGGACACCUAGUUUGGGGACACGGGGACAGGGACAUUGGGGGGGCACCUUGUAACUUGGGGACACGGGGACAGGGACAUCGGGGGGGCACCUUGUAACUCGGGGAUAUGGGGACAGGGACAUUGGGGGGGUGGGGACAUCAGGGGGGCACCUCGUAACUCAGGGACACGGGGAUGGGGACAUUGAGGGGGGACAAGGACAUUGGGGGGACACCUCAUGACUUGGGGACAUGGGGACAGGGACAUCAAGGGGGUCACCUCACAGCCUGGGGACAGGGGAUGGGGACAGUGGCAACAGGGUUUUGGGGUCCUCCUGUUUAGGAAUGGGGUUUUGGGCUCCCCUCCUGUUUAGGGACGGGUUUUUGGGGUGCUCCCAUUUAGGGACACGGUUUUGGGGUCUAUGCUUGUUGGAGACAGGGUUUUGGGAUCCCUCCUGUUUAGGGACGGGGUUUUGGGAUCCCUCCUGUUUAGGGACAGGGUUUUGGGGUCCCUCCUCAUUGGAACAGGACUUUGGGGCCCCUCCUGUUUAGGAACAGGGUUUUGGGGCCCCUCCUAUUUAGGGAUGAAGUUUUGGGGCCCCUCCUUGUUGGGGAUGGGGUUUUGGGGUCCCUCUGGUUUUGGGAAGGGGGUUUUGGGGUCCCUCUGGUUUUGGGAUCUCUCCUUGCAGGGGACAGGACUUUGGGGUCCCUCCUGUUUAGGGACAGGACUUUGGGGUCCCCCCUGUUUAGGGUCAGGAUUUUGGGGUCCCUACUGUUUAGGGAUGAGGUUUGAGCUCUCUCCUUUUUGGGGACAGGGGGUUUUGGGGCCCCCCCUGUUUAGGGACAGGACUUUGGGGUCCCCCCUGUUUAGGGUCGGGGUUUCGGGGUCCCUCCUCAUUGGAACAGGACUUUGGGGUCCCUCCUGUUUGGGGUUGGGGUUUCGGGGUCCCCCCUGUUUAGGGUGUGGGUUUCGGGGUCCCCCCUGUUUAGGGUGUGGGUUUUGGGGUCCCCCCUGUUUAGGGUUGGGGUUUCAGGGUCCCCCCCUGUUUAGGGACAGGACUUUGGGGUCCCUCCUGUUUGGGGUCAGGGUUUCGGGGUCCCUCCUGUUUAGGGUGGGGGUUUUGGGGUCCCUCCUUGUUGG